GACGAACCGUGCGAACGUUAUUCGGAAUCACUGGGCUUAAAGCGCGUGUAGGCGGGUCGGCACGUCGGUCGCUGAAAUCCCCCGGCUCAACCGGGGAAGGGGCGCCGAUACGGCCGGCCUCGAGGGGAGUAGGGGGACCUGGAACUUCCGGUGGAGCGGUGAAAUGCGUUGAGAUCGGAAGGAACGCCCGUGGCGAAGGCGGUUCUCUGGGCCUGUACUGACGCUGAGGAGCGAAAGCGUGGGGAGCGAACAGG
rnacentral:rRNA from 1 species